rnacentral:lncRNA from 1 species
CCAGCUGAAGCCCCGGAAGAGGAGCUUGGAAGCGAGCGGGACGUCGAUGAUGAUCUCCUUCUGCGUGGGCUUCUUCUCUCCGCGGAUGGCGAUCAGGUAGCUGCGGCCGACCCAGCCGAUCCAGCCGGCGAUGUAGAGGAAGAGCAGGCCGGGGGUGAUGAACUCGCCCCAGUGGCGCUGGUCGCCGCUGACGAUGAGGUGCGGGAGGCCGUCGGCGCCGCAGAGCAGGCCGAACUUGCCGUAGUUGUCGAAGCGGCGCUUGGUCCUCUCCAUGGUGGCCUUGAUGGCGAGCGCGGGGGCGGAGUCGGGAUCGUACUUCUUCAGCGACGACUCCAGCUUCCUCAGCGCCUGCUUCUCCCUCUUGGCGAAGGCCUUGGACUCCUUGCAGGGGGUGAGGCCGGCGAUGUCCGCCGCCGCCGGCAGCGGCGCGGAGGAGAUCAGGAUCGAGGACAGCGCCAGCGCCGCGGAGAACGCCUUCAGGGAGGAGGAGACCGCCGCCGGCGCCUGCUCCCUCUCCGGCGGCACCGCCGAGCAGGAGAUGGCCGGCCUGAGCCUCGGCUGGCACUGCAGCAGCGGCAUCCUCGGCUUGGAGACCGGCUUCGCCAGCGUCGUGAUCGGAAUGGCCGCGAAGCUCGACAUCUUCCCCUUCCUCUUCCUCCCCUCUGCUCUCUCUCUCCUCUGGACUGGUUUGUUGCAGGUGGGAGAGGGGAGAGGGAAAUGGGGGCGGCGGAGAGGGAUGAUGAGAGUGGGGCAGGAGAGAGAGAGGCAGAGAGGAGAGAGAGGGCGGAGGAGGUGAUUGGUGGAGAGGCGGGAGGGGGAUAAGAUGGAGAGCACCGCCGUGCUGAGCUGGCGGACAGUGAUUGGAUCACUGGAGCGCGUGGAC